GCAAGUCGAACGGAAACGAUGGGAGCUUGCCCCCAGGCGUCGAGUGGCGGACGGGUGAGUAAUACUUAGGAAUCUACCCAGUAGCGGGGGACAACUCGGGGAAACUCGAGCUAAUACCGCAUACGGCCUACGGGGGAAAGCAGGGGAUCUUCGGACCGUGCACUUUUGGAUGAGCCUAAGUCGGAUUAGCUUGUUGGUGAGGUAAAGGCUCACCAAGGCGACGAUCCGUAGCUGGUCUGAGAGGACGAUC
rnacentral:rRNA from 1 species